rnacentral:rRNA from 1 species
UCAGACGAUGCGUCAUGCAUAUCAAUAAGCGGAGGAAAAGAAACUAACAAGGAUUCCCCUAGUAACGGCGAGCGAAGCGGGAAGAGCUCAAAUUUGAAAUCUUAAAGGGUUUCCCUUUACGAAUUGUAGUUUAAAGAAGUGUUUUCUGUUGAGGUUUUGGUAAAAGUUCUUUGGAAUAGGACAUCAUAGAGGGUGAGAAUCCCGUAUUUGACCUUUACUUUCAACUUUGUGAUACACCUUCAAAGAGUCGGAUUGUUUGGGAAUGCAGUCCAAAAUGGGUGGUAAAUUUCAUCUAAAGCUAAAUAUUGGCGAGAGACCGAUAGCGAACAAGUACCGUGAGGGAAAGAUGAAAAGAACUUUGAAAAAAGAGUUAAACAGUACGUGAAAUUGUCAAAAGGGAAGCGUUUGACACCAGUGUUGUUUUUCUGAAAAUCAAUUAAAGAACUGUUUAUGCUAAGUUGUUUAGACUUUAUCAGCUAACUGUUUAGUUUUGAGCUUUUCUUUAAUGCACUUUUCAGUUAACAAGUCAGCAUCAAUUUCUUUUGCUGUAAAAAAGCUUGAGGAAGGUGGCUUGAGAUUCGUCUUAAGUGUUUAUAGCCUCUUGCCUAUGCAGUCGGAGAGAUUGAGGUCUGCAGCGUAGAUCCUUCGGGGCUAAAUGCAUUUGUGCUAAGUUAUAGCAUUUUAUAGACAACUUGUUGACUAUGAUUUGUCUUGUAGCUUACUCGCUUAUGUUAUUUUACCUACGCUUAGGAUGUUGAGCGCAUGUCUCUCUCU